rnacentral:misc_RNA from 1 species
GAUGAAGAACGCAGCGAAAUGCGAUAAGUAAUGUGAAUUGCAGAAUUCAGUGAAUCAUCGAAUCUUUGAACGCACAUUGCGCCCGCUAGUACUCUAGCGGGCAUGCCUGUUCGAGCGUCAUUUCAACCCUCAAGCCCUGCUUGGUGUUGGGGCCCUACGGCUGCCGUAGGCCCUGAAAGGAAGUGGCGGGCUCGCUACAACUCCGAGCGUAGUAGAAAUCUAUCUCGCUAGGGAGGUGCGGCGCGCUCCUGCCGUUAAAGACCCAUCUUUAACCAAGGUUGACCUCGGAUCAGGUAGGAAUACCCGCUGAACUUAAGCAUAUCAAUAAGCGGAGGA